rnacentral:rRNA from 1 species
CAAAUGAAGAGUUUGAUCCUGGCUCAGGAUGAACGCUGGCGGCGUGCCUAAUACAUGCAAGUCGAACGCUGGAGAUCUAGCUUGCUAGAUCGAAGGAGUGGCGAACGGGUGAGUAAUACAUAAGCAACCUACCCACGAAGACUGGGAUAAUCUCUGGAAACGGGGACUAAUACCGGAUAGGUAAUCGGAAGGCAUCUUCUGAUUAUUAAAGGUUAAAAACACUGGUGGAUGGGCUUAUGGCGCAUUAGUUAGUUGGUGAGGUAACGGCCCACCAAGACGAUGAUGCGUAGCCGGCCUGAGAGGGUGAACGGCCACAUUGGGACUGAGACACGGCCCAGACUCCUACGGGAGGCAGCAGUAGGGAAUUUUCGGCAAUGGGGGAAACCCUGACCGAGCAACGCCGCGUGAGUGAUGACGGCCUUCGGGUUGUAAAGCUCUGUUGUAAGGGAAGAACGGUAGAUAGAGAAUAUCUAAGUGACGGUACCUUACCAGAAAGCCACGGCUAACUACGUGCCAGCAGCCGCGGUAAUACGUAGGUGGCGAGCGUUAUCCGGAAUUAUUGGGCGUAAAGGGUGCGUAGGCGGCCUGUUAAGUAAGUGGUUAAAUUGUUGGGCUCAACCCAAUCCAGCCACUUAAACUGGCAGGCUAGAGUAUUGGAGAGGCAAGUGGAAUUCCAUGUGUAGCGGUAAAAUGCGUAGAUAUAUGG